GCAAGCGUUAUUCGGAUUCACUGGGCGUAAAGGGUGCGCAGGCGGCCAAGUGUGUGAGGCGUGAAAGCCCGGGGCUUAACCCCGGAAUUGCACCUCAAACUACAUGGCUAGAGCAUUGGAGAGGGUAGCAGAAUUCAUGGUGUAGCAGUGAAAUGCGUAGAUAUCAUGAGGAAUACCAGAGGCGAAGGCGGCUACCUGGACAAUUGCUGACGCUGAGGCGCGAAAGCUAGGGGAGCAAACAGG
rnacentral:rRNA from 1 species